rnacentral:rRNA from 1 species
AUACGUAGGGGGCGAGCGUUGUCCGGAAUGACUGGGCGUAAAGGGCGUGUAGGCGGCCGAUUAAGUCUGGAGUGAAAGUCCCGCUUUCAAGGUGGGAAUUGCUUUGGAGACUGGUUGGCUUGAGUGCGGAAGAGGUAAGUGGAAUUCCCAGUGUAGCGGUGAAAUGCGUAGAGAUCGGGAGGAACACCAGUGGCGAAGGCGGGUAACUGGACUGCAACUGACGCUGAGGCGCGAAAGUGUGGGGAGCAUACAGGAUUAGAUACCCUGGUAGUCCACACUGUAAACGAUGAAUGCUAGGUGUAAGAGGUAUCGACCCCUUUUGUGCCGGAGUUAACACAAUAAGCAUUCCGCCUGGGGAGUACGGCCGCAAGGUUGAAACUCAAAGGAAUUGACGGG